rnacentral:rRNA from 1 species
AGCGAACGCUGGCGGCAGGCUUAACACAUGCAAGUCGAGCGGACCUUUCGGGGUCAGCGGCGGACGGGUGAGUAACGCGUGGGAACGUGCCUUCCGGUUCGGAAUAACCCUGGGAAACUAGGGCUAAUACCGGAUACGCCCUUAGGGGGAAAGGUUUACUGCCGGAAGAUCGGCCCGCGUCUGAUUAGCUAGUUGGUGGGGUAACGGCCUACCAAGGCGACGAUCAGUAGCUGGUCUGAGAGGAUGAUCAGCCACACUGGGACUGAGACACGGCCCAGACUCCUACGGGAGGCAGCAGUGGGGAAUAUUGGACAAUGGGCGCAAGCCUGAUCCAGCCAUGCCGCGUGAGUGAUGAAGGCCUUAGGGUUGUAAAGCUCUUUUAUCCGGGACGAUAAUGACGGUACCGGAGGAAUAAGCCCCGGCUAACUUCGUG